GAGCAAGGGGGCCAUAUAAGUGGCGAUCUUUGCAUUGAAGGUUGGCAAAAUCAAGCUUGACCCUGCAGUUUUCCGUGUCGCUCAAAGUUGUUUUUUUUUAUGUCGGCCUCGAACAAGCUGCUACAUC
rnacentral:snoRNA from 2 species